rnacentral:lncRNA from 1 species
UUUGAUCGCUUGGGACUGGUCGCCAUGGACUCCGGCGCUGGAACUGUCCCUCUAUCUCCGUUCAAACCCGGCAGCACCAUUUACAUGAAGACAAGGAAGAGAAUCGGAGGAACGAGAAAGAGAGAAGAAAACCCUUUCACUCCGCCAAGUGUUUUGGGGUGCGUAGGCAGAGGAAGAGAGAGCUGAAAAUUCUAUCGAAAAUCAGAAACAAAGAGAUUGAAUAGGCUUUUUUCUGAGGUGGCCGGGAAAUUAAGUUAAUAUAAGGAGUAGGGACUGAGAAGAGGGGGCGGUUUUAACGUUUGGGUUAAUGGACUUGGAGUUGGACCUUGGGAUGCAUAUGCUC